rnacentral:rRNA from 1 species
ACGAUAAGAGGCAACUCUUAUUAGUGGCGGAAGGGUUAGUAAUACAUGGGGUAAUCUGCCUUUAACUUUGGAAUAACGGUUGGAAACGAUCGCUAAUACCAAAUGUGGUGGUGAAAGAUAACUUUCAUUCAUUAAAGUGGGGGAUCGCACGACCUCGCGGUUAAAGAAGAGCCCAUGGGAUAUCAGCUAGUUGGUGAGGUAAAGGCUCACC